rnacentral:rRNA from 1 species
CGCGUAGGCGGAUCGUUAAGUCAGGGGUGAAAUCCCAGGGCUCAACCCUGGAACUGCCUUUGAUACUGGCGAUCUUGAGUGUGAGAGAGGUAUGUGGAACUCCGAGUGUAGAGGUGAAAUUCGUAGAUAUUCGGAAGAACACCAGUGGCGAAGGCGACAUACUGGCUCAUUACUGACGCUGAGGCGCGAAAGCGUGGGGAGCAAACA